UUCCUAGGUAUCUUCAAAGAGGAAGGAGC
rnacentral:piRNA from 1 species